AUUGAACGCUGGCGGCAGGCCUAACACAUGCAAGUCGAGCGGAUGAAGGGAGCUUGCUCCUGGAUUCAGCGGCGGACGGGUGAGUAAUGCCUAGGAAUCUGCCUGGUAGUGGGGGAUAACGUCCGGAAACGGGCGCUAAUACCGCAUACGUCCUGAGGGAGAAAGUGGGGGAUCUUCGGACCUCACGCUAUCAGAUGAGCCUAGGUCGGAUUAGCUAGUUGGUGGGGUAAAGGCCUACCAAGGCGACGAUCCGUAACUGGUCUGAGAGGAUGAUCAGUCACACUGGAACUGAGACACGGUCCAGACUCCUACGGGAGGCAGCAGUGGGGAAUAUUGGACAAUGGGCGAAAGCCUGAUCCAGACAUGCCGCGUGUGUGAAGAAGGUCCUCGGAUUGUAAAGCACUUUAAGUUGGGAGGAAGGGCAGUAAGUUAAUACCUUGCUGUUUUGACGUUACCAACAGAAUAAGCACCGGCUAACUUCGUG
rnacentral:rRNA from 1 species